rnacentral:misc_RNA from 1 species
AAAAAUCCAACGAGACCUUUCGGGGUCUUGAAACCUGUGAACUGGAAAAUGGAGCUUCGGCAAAGUUUUCGCACUUGUACUUUUUGUUUUAUUUUUAUUUUCUUAUGAGUUUUUUGAGCGCAAGCUUGAAUUACGAGUAAUUAAAGA